rnacentral:rRNA from 1 species
UACGGGGGGGGCAAGCGUUGUUCGGAAUUACUGGGCGUAAAGGGCUCGUAGGCGGCCAACUAAGUCGGAUGUGAAAUCCCCAGGCUUAACCUGGGAACUGCAUCCGAUACUGGAUGGCUUGAAUCCGGGAGAGGGAUGCAGAAUUCCAGGUGUAGCGGUGAAAUGCGUAGAUAUCUGGAGGAAUACCGGUGGCGAAGGCGGCAUCCUGGACCGGCAUUGACGCUGAGGAGCGAAAGCUAGGGGGAGCAA